GAUGAACGCUGGCGGCGUGCCUAAUACAUGCAAGUCGAGCGAACAGACGAGGAGCUUGCUCCUCUGACGUUAGCGGCGGACGGGUGAGUAGCACGUGGAUAACCUACCUAUAAGACUGGGAUAACUUCGGGAAACCGGAGCUAAUACCGGAUAAUAUAUUGAACCGCAUGGUUCAAUAGUGAAAGACGGUUUUGCUGUCACUUAUAGAUGGAUCCGCGCCGCAUUAGCUAGUUGGUAAGGUAACGGCUUACCAAGGCCACGAUGCGUAGCCGACCUGAGAGGGUGAUCGGCCACACUGGAACUGAGACACGGUCCAGACUCCUACGGGAGGCAGCAGUAGGGAAUCUUCCGCAAUGGGCGAAAGCCUGACGGAGCAACGCCGCGUGAGUGAUGAAGGUCUUCGGAUCGUAAAACUCUGUUAUUAGGGAAGAACAAAUGUGUAAGUAACUAUGCACGUCUUGACGGUACCUAAUCAGAAAGCCACGGCUAACUACGUG
rnacentral:rRNA from 1 species